rnacentral:rRNA from 1 species
AUGGGAACCCUCAAUGUGACAAUCAUUCUAUGUUUUCUAAUCCUCAUGCCACUCCAGUUAGUUCCUGGUUCAGAGGCCAAGACGUGCAAAGAUCUCAGUGGGACAUAUACCGCUUCACGUUGUUAUCAGGCUGAAUGUGUUGUGGCCUGCCGCAAGGAGGGCUUUACCCAAGGGGGGGUGUGA